UUGUAAGUUGGAAUGCGCAUUUCGAGCAGAAUCUGUUGAGCAGCUCUGUGCGUGGUUCAUCCGCCAUUUUUGGCCCUCCGUUUUCAAGACCAGCGCUUCCAACUAGAACCACGUAGAACUUCACGAAAAAUUUACUGAGUACUUGUCGCCGUUCUUAUCUGAAUUUCACUCUCCGAACUUGCUGGUGACAAGAGCUUGUAGAAUGUAUUCCCCCGGAAAGUUGCUCCAUCUUACAUGUGGAAACGACGGUCGACAAAUGUUAGGCUUUACGUUACAUUGCCUUUUCCAUAAGUAGGCCUACUUCGUGUUUUACGAGAAACUUCUGAUUAAGAGAAGCAAAACCGUGAGUGGAGUGCAGACACAAAGGGGUCCAAGAUGGCACCACUGAUGUCCAAGGGAUUGGCUGCCUACCUGCUUGAACUCUCAUCGUCAAGACUGGAUGCGGUCAUACUUGAUAAAGGCAAAUCCAUGGCAACAGCUUUUUAGCUGAAAUUGAAAUUUUCUAAUGACCAGUUUCUGACUAAAAGUAUUGGCGUGCAAGCCAAAAGUUUGAAAGUGAGUUAUUUUAUGCUUUUUGUGACCAACUGAGCCAUUCUAGUGGGAAACAGUCCCACCCAAAUUGGGAAAAAAAAA